AUUUUAUCGUCUAUUUUAUCCGUGAUUUUAUUUUAUAUUAUUUAAGUUUUUCGCCAUAUUCAAAUUGAUGUAGAUGAACAUUUAUGAAUAAAAGGGCAGCUUUAAUUGAUAACGAAGCGAAUGGAGCUUGAAGCAAAGACAUUUUUGAUAAGAAAACUUCUUCAACAGAACACGCCAGCGAAGCUCUACUACAAAAAGCAAAACUGCCAAAACUCGUUGAACAGUUUCGCUCUCUAAGUCAUCCAGAUAAUACGAUGUUCUUGAUAAAGGGCCACCACAGUAUGUGACCACCGAAUACAAGACGAUAAACACAAUAAAAAAAACCAACAAGACAGUCAAGACUCUACUACAAAACUAGAAGCUUUACUGCAGAUGAAUGGUGAAAGAGAUUACCAAAAAGAUAGUAAUUACACCACUCGUAAUAAACUGUAUGUAUGUGUCUGAGCAAUCACCACAAGAGAUUUGCAAGAAGAUUCCCAAAUGUACUCCGCACACUUUGUAUGUACAGGUGGAGUAUUGUGAGAAGAGUACUCUUAGGAAUGUUAUUGACGAGGGAUAGUACAAGGACCAACAGAGAAUGUGGCGGCUUCUUCGUGAGAUUGUAGAAGGAUUAGUUUCACGUUCAUUCACAGGUAGAAACUUUCGAUUAUUGUUUGUGCAAACUGUAUGUGUGUGUAACUAAACAUAAAAAAAAGGUGAACAAUUUUCGUUUAGCUCGAUAAAUAUAUGUAAGACUUAUUAUUUGCUAUUUUUCUCUAAUAUUAGCCAAUAGGGUAUUAUUGAAGUAAACGCGUUUCGACAUUUCAUUGAAUUGCAGUGUCAUAGAGAAAGUUGUCUUUAAUGGAAUACCGAAAGCACUGUAUACCAUGAAUAUUACAAAAACGACAUCAAUCGCAUCAUAAAUAAUUACUAUUAGAAAUUUGAAUGGUCAUUAUGUCCUGGACGUCCAGGUUGUAUCAAUCAGUAAAUCACACUAUUUUUGGCAGUAUGCUGCUCAAACGGCGAAAAAGAUGCGAUGAAGACUAAUGAGAAGAAGGAUAAACGAAGUUUUCUUUGUAUAUUUUGAUAUUAUGUAAUUUUUUCAAUCGAAGGCAAAAUUUGUUCCUGACAGGCAAUCUUAUAGCUUUGACGAAACUAAAGCAAUGGAUGCGACACGGCCCCCUAAAAAGAACGCUCAUACAGCAAAAAUUUCGAGUUCUUCAAAUUUGUCAGUUGAUGAAAUUCUGUAUUUGUUUGAACUAUCAGGCUACGAUCAUGUCCAUUCGCUGGAGGAAGGCAUUUCUAUGACGUCCGCAACUAACGAGAACCCAAAUAAUUUAGAAAAUUCAGGUAAAGUCAUUAACGAUAUAGAAAUGAAUCAAAUUUCUAAAUCUGUUGAUAGUUUUGAAGCAUUUCUCAAUGAGAUGGUGUGAAUAUUAGGUUAAUUAUGCAUGUCGUGGAGCUUGACACUUUCAGCCGUUAAGAUUAAAAAUCAAACUUUCACAACAACAAUAGCAAUAAAUGAAAAACCAGUCAGGUGCAAGAAUAAUCAUUGUUAUAAAUACAGAAAAAUUUGUACUGUAGGAUUAAUCUGUUUUCGUUUAUGCAUGCAUAAUAAUGCAUGUAAGAACAUAAAUUUCACUUAUAAAUCUGCCUAGACUAAAUUUGAACAGAAACUGCAGCAGCAAGUACAAUGGCAAGAAUAAAAGGGCGAGACCACGUUAAAGUUUAUGUUGAAAGAGAAUUAUUCGGUCACUGGAAGGGGCUCUCAACGUGGGUUGAACGUAAAUUAUUAACUAUCAAAGCGGAAUUACUGCGAGUUAACUACGUCUACCAGACAAACCAAAUGUCAAUGGAUAUACCGGACGAAAUCUAAGCAUUUGAUAAGCAUACAGUUUGUACCGAAGCUAUGGAAUUGAGUGAUAGCGUAACGCAAUAAACAAGAGCGCCGUGAAGACUAUGAAGAUUGGUUUCUUACAACAUCCGAUUUCCUCAACACAAUGUUUAGAGAUAAUAUGGCUGCGUUGUCAAAUAUCCUGUGAUAUGUUAUAAGUGUCAUAAACCAUUGAAAUGUAGGAUAUGACUCGUGAAAUCGACAUUCCUAAAGAAUACAUCUCAAAAUCGGAACGAUAGGAAAAUUCAUUUCCCAUGCACAUUAUAUAAAAGCUAAAAGAAGACAAGUUAUCGGCUGCUUUAAAGCCUCCACCAACGUCAAGCCAGAAAUAUGUCAUCCUCAUAUUUAACUACGACAAGUGCCAUUGGAUUAAUAAAGCUAAUAUCGACAGCAGCCGCUAAAAGAAAUCUGCAUUGCUGAGCUGUAAGAAAAUGUGCUGCUUUUGAAAGACUUACUUGUCUCUAUCUUUUUCAAAAGAAGACAUAAGUAACCAUAGAUGUUUUGCUAAUGUAUUAUCAAACUAACAUUAAUAUAAAUGUAUUUAUUUGUACUACUCUUUCACUCUUUAUAUCAACAUUCGACUACGAAUAUGA